rnacentral:snRNA from 1 species
ACAUGCCAGAUCUGAGUAUAACCCCUCUCACUGCAUUCAACAUGAAGGUUAAUUUGAUUGAUUUGACUGGCUAGGAAGAUGUCCCCUUCCUCCCUAACUGCUCUACAUGCUUUCCUUCUUAAGGCCUCACCUGGUUGAAAAGGGCAACAUUUCUUGACAAAGGAGAGUGGUUUUGUGGUUAAAGGUGCAUCAGUAAUUGUGCGCCCCUACCAGAUCCUCCAAACAAACUCUUAGACUUUCUUCAUUUAUAUUUGAAUAUUUGAAGCAGUACAUUUGGGGCAUUUUUAC